GAGGUUAUAGCUCAGUGGUAGAGUGUCUGCUUAGUACGCAUAAGGCCCCGGGUGCAAUUUCCAGUACCUCCA
rnacentral:tRNA from 1 species